GCAGUGAGUACACGUCUGCUUUUAUUGUAUAGUAAACAAUGUUUUACAGCAAUAGUUUCUGAAUGUUUGAACACAUGAAUUACAUGGCAAUAACAGGUCAGUCUGUUAACAGUAGCUUAUGUAGGUGUAGCCAUUUUUUUGCUUAUCCAAGACAAUUAUUGCUAAAUUAUUUUAGUAUAAAUUGACAAUUUCACAUGCUGUCCACAAUGACCAAAUUUAUAUAUAUUUUAAGCACUUUCUGAAAACAAAACAGAACACAGAUAAAUAUAAAAUAUUUAACAAUUUGCCAAGAUUUAAUCCACACGCAAUCAUAAGGUAAAAUCACCAAGUGACCAGCGUAGGUACCAAUAAUUUCCUACAAAAAUGUGAGCACUCUAAAACAAGGUCGAAAUCUUUUUUUAAAUGUAUUUUGUUUUGCUCCAAAACAAAGCAUCUUGAUAGGCGAAUACAGACAUUCUGUAAAACUUGCAGUUUCAAUAUAUUGAUUUAUACAUUUCAACACAAAUGUUCAGUAAUUGUAUGUUUUGGAGAGAUACGAUACAAUUCACAGCAUGUUUGUGCUAUGUUACUUAUGCUAGUUUUUUUUUUUCUUUCUAUAAAUUGUUUUGCACAUCUAUACUACAUUUAUUUCUCCCUUCCAAUCUUAUUUCCAAAAAUAGUUCUGUGCAUUUAGUCAUGGAUCAAGCACACUGGAACAUGUAGUUCAGUUUUCUUUCUGAAGUUAAACACACCUGGUAAAUUAACUACAACUCACAAAUCUUUGCUGAGACCAUAAACCUAGAGUUAGCUCAGCAGUGCAAUACAAUAUUAUUGACUGAGCCACUUUCUGGUUUCAAGCGAGUGCAUAGCAGAAGCUACACAGCCUGGGCAGUUGCAGUGGAUGCAUGAAAUUUAAAUGGUUCUUAAUUUUUUUCCCCCAUGAUUGUAUUUCGAUUAAGGAAAAAUACAGACUUUAAGCCAUUAAAAGUACCCAAUAAAACAGAGCACCAAAUUAGGUGAACGGUAUAACCAAUAGCAGCAGUAAUACAGGUGAGCAUACGAUCUGGGCAUCCCAACAAAUGAAAGCUACAACAAAAACCACCUACACUUGUGUAAGGAAACACUAACCGGUCACGUGAAAAAUACUCCCUAAAAAAUAAAUCCAUAUCGGGGUUUAUUUGUGAACACCACCCAAACCAGGGGUACAGAAAGAUAUACAUAUGGUAAGCACUUCUAAAAUUAUCUUGAUUUAGAAAAUAAAUACAAAAAAGCAAACAAUACAAUACUGUGUUAAAAGGUCAUCUACAAGCAAAGCAGUAAAACUCAAUACAUUGGACUUGUCACUCUUUCCAGGACUCUCUUGGAAAGAGAGUGUUUUGCAUUGCUUUUACAGAUUUUAAACUUUUAUACAUUCUAUUCAGGGUAUAUGUGAUUUUCUGCAAAGUCCCAAAUGUUGUUAGAGCCUGUGCAGCUGUGUCUAAGGAGCAGGGUGGAGAAUAUCUGAAUAUUGCUGCUCUAUUCAAAGUGCUCUCUGCAUUAGGCAAUUUAGCCACUUUUCUGAGAUUUAAAAACGUAUGGUUUAGUGACCAAUCCCUUAAAGGAGCACUAUAGGGUCAGGAACACAAAUGUAUUCCUGACCCUAUUGGGUUAACACCACCAUCUAGCCCACAUGGGCCCCUCAUGCCUUCAUAAAUAUAGAAAUCUUAGUUGUUUUCAAGUCUGGAGCUGCUUGCAUUGUCACUGUUUCCUUUAGACCUGCCUGCUGACAUCAGAAGUGGUAGCCUGAUCCAAUUACAAUGCCUCCAUAUAGGAUUGGCUGAGACUGACAAGGAGGCAGAUCGGGGCAGAGCCAGCAUGAUUCAAACACAGCCCUGGUCAAUCAGCAUCUCCUCAUGAGAUGAAUUGAAUCAAUGAAUCUCUAUGAGGAAAGUUCAGUGUCUGCAUGCAGAGAGAGGAGACACAAUGUUUGGAUGCAUUUUAGGCAGCCAUGACCCAGGAAGCAUCUCUAACAGCCAUCUAAGCAGUGGCCAGUGGAGGUAUCCCUAGGCUGUAAUGUAAACACUGCAUUCUCUCUGAAAAGACAGUGUUUACAGCAAAAAGCCUGAAGGGAAUGAUUCUACUCACCAGAACAAAUUCAGUAAGCUGUAGUUCUGGUAACUACAGUGUCCCUUUAAAUAGUCAAUAAGUAAAUAUGCUAAACACAGCCAAUUUAAGCUGGUGGAAAGGGAUUGGAAACAGCCUCUUGUUCAAUUAAAGGUUAUUUAUAAUGCUGGAGGGUUCCUUUAAAGUCUUAUUAGAUUAUUGGGCCUGCUCCAAUGCCCUAAAAACAAACAGUUAAGUUUCCUUUAUUCCAGAAUCAAGAGGAUCCCAAAAAGCAGUUCUGCUCUGAGUGCCGCAGUAUCGUCAGCAUUAAUGAUCCCCUGGCAGUCAGUCACUUUUGAUAGAUACGGUUUGAGAUGCAAUCCCUGCAUUGUGCCUAUCUAUGAGAAGCACUGCUUUAUACUGGGGCAAAAGGCAAUCAGAAAAGGCACACUCCUGGCUGUCUGCUGAUAUCAAGAGAAAUUGGUACUUUUGUAAUGGUGCCAGGUUGUACCCUCCCAUGUGUCACUUUCUGAAAGUGGGAAAUAGAGGGCACUUUGUUAACUCUUAAAGAAAUUCAGCAAGCAGAUAAGUGCUUUAGCGGUGUGGAGAGUUCCUUUAAAUCUAUUCUUGCACCACAAUAGAAUAAUAAGCACAAAUCUCAAAGCCAGCAAAUUCUGGAUUCCAAUGUCUGUUUAAAAGGAAAUGAUGGGAACAGUUGUAAAAUCAGCUUGGCAAACAUUUGCUUUUGUACAGGAAAUAGAAAUGUAAUGCAAGACCGUGUACACAGAGAAGGUAUCGAAUUAGCAAAUAUUAUUUAUGACCUAUGUGCUGUUAAAUGCAGUCUAGUUAAAGUUGAAAUAUAUAAAUUACCACUCAAUUAUUUUGAAUUAAGUUUUAGUGUUUGGGGUUUUUGUUUUUUUGUUUUCAUAUUUAGAUUUCAAGUCCUUUUCACAACUGAAUGUUCCAAGCCAUUUAUAUGCAGAAAAUCAUGUAUGUGAUAAGUUGUUAAAUUAUUCUCAAAGGGGGAUUUCCAAGAAACAAUAUUAUUCAGCCUAUAAAACAGAUAAAGAAAUAAUUGACCAGUUUUAGACUAACUACCCAAAGGCCAGGGCUAAGAACAUUGCAAAUCUUCCAAGUCUCAGGGAUAGUAUUAACCCCCUAAGGAUACAUGACGUGUGACAUGUCAUGAUUCCCUUUUAUUCCAGAAGUUUGGCUCUUAAGGGGUUAAAGACUUCAAAAGGCUGAAAUAUGACAAAUCCACCCACAACAUUUGCAAAUCUUUUUAUAAAAAGAUAGGGAUUUUAUUUUAUAUAAGUUUCCCAAACGAAAUUCAGAGCCAAGUACUGUAUAUAGAUACGUUUAACAUUUAAAUGUUGUAUCUGAACUCCUCAAAAUGUCACAUAGGUCUACCUCAUCUCAAAUAAUUGAUAAACGAAAGGUAAGGAUGUAAGAUGUGUUCAUUCCUGUCCUUUUACAGAGAUGUCGUCCUGUAUUACACUCCCGGUGCUCGGUUAUCAGGAUGUGGGUGAUAAUGAAGCAUUUUCAAGGAAUGCAGUCUGGAGGAAUGGCAAGCGUGGCACCCUCUUCCAAUUACGUGAGCAGCAAUUAGUUAGUAAUCAAAAGCGCUGACCUUUCAUCUGGAAUACAGCACAAAACAAUAUUUAAAAAAAGUUACAUAACCUCUGUGCUUCACCUGAAUGUUAGUUAAUACAUUUAAAUACCGAACCUUGAAAGAUCGAGCGGCUGUGGAAUUUUUUUAGUCGUAUUAUUUAAUAGAAAUAAUAUUUCAACCUUGUAUCUUCCCAUCCAAGUUUAUUCAUC